AUUGAACGCUGGCGGCAGGCCUAACACAUGCAAGUCGAGCGGAUGAGUGGAGCUUGCUCCAUGAUUCAGCGGCGGACGGGUGAGUAAUGCCUAGGAAUCUGCCUGGUAGUGGGGGACAACGUUUCGAAAGGGACGCUAAUACCACAUACGUCCUACGGGAGAAAGCAGGGGACCUUCGGGCCUUGCGCUAUCAGAUGAGCCUAGGUCGGAUUAGCUAGUAGGUGGGGUAAUGGCCCACCUAGGCGACGAUCCGUAACUGGUCUGAGAGGAUGAGCAGUCACACUGGGACUGAGACACGGACCAGACUCCUACGGGAGGCAGCAGUGGGGAAUAUUGGACAAUGGGCGAAAGCCUGAUCCAGCCAUGCCGCGUGUGUGAAGAAGGUCUUCGGAUUGUAAAGCACUUUAAGUUGGGAGGAAGGGCAGUAAGUUAAUACCUUGCUGUUUUGACGUUACCAACAGAAUAAGCACCGGCUAACUUCGUGCCAGCAGCCGCUUAAAAC
rnacentral:rRNA from 1 species